AGUGAACGCUGGCGGCGUGCCUAAUACAUGCAAGUCGAACAAAGUUGCGCACGGGUGAGUAAUAUCUCGUUCCUCUGCACUACACAGAGGAACAACAGUUGGAAACGACUGCUAAUACCUCAUAGUGUAGGAUGAGACAAUAUCGUAUCAGCUAGUUGGUAAGGUAAUGGCAUACCAAUGCUAUGACGCGUAACUGGUCUGAGAGGAUGAUCAGUCACAGUGGAACUGAGACACGGGACAAACUCCUACGGGGGGCAGCAGUAAGGAAGAUGGCGCAAUGGGGGAAACCCAGCCGCAGCAACGCCGCAUGGAGGAGGAAACUUUUCGGAGCGUAAACUCCUUUUAUCAGGAAAGCGGUACCUAAUGAAUAAGCACCGGCUAACUCCGUGCCAGCAGCCGCGGUAAUUC
rnacentral:rRNA from 1 species